CCUACGGGAGGCAGCAGUGAGGAAUAUUGGUCAAUGGACGAGAGUCUGAACCAGCCAAGUAGCGUGAAGGAUGACUGCCCUAUGGGUUGUAAACUUCUUUUAUAUGGGAAUAAAAUGUUCCACGUGUGGGAUUUUGUAUGUACCAUAUGAAUAAGGAUCGGCUAAUUCCGUGCCAGCAGCCGCGGUAAUACGGAGGAUCCGAGCGUUAUCCGGAUUUAUUGGGUUUAAAGGGAGCGUAGGUGGAUUGUUAAGUCAGUUGUGAAAGUUUGCGGCUCAACCGUAAAAUUGCAGUUGAAACUGGCAGUCUUGAGUACAGUAGAGGUGGGCGGAAUGCGUGGUGUAGCGGUGAAAUGCUUAGAUAUCACGAAGAACUCCGAUUGCGAAGGCAGUUCACUGGACUGCAACUGACACUGAGGCUCGAAAGUGUGGGUAUCAAACAGGAUUAGAUACCCCAGUAGUC
rnacentral:rRNA from 1 species